rnacentral:rRNA from 1 species
UACGUAGGGGGCAAGCGUUGUCCGGAAUCAUUGGGCGUAAAGAGCGUGUAGGCGGCCCGGUAAGUCCGCUGUGAAAGUCCAGGGCUCAACCCUGGGAUGCCGGUGGAUACUGUCGGGCUCGAGUCCGGAAGAGGAGUGUGGAAUUCCUGGUGUAGCGGUGAAAUGCGCAGAUAUCGGGAGGAACACCGGUGGCGAAGGCGGUUCUC